rnacentral:other from 1 species
CUGACCCUGCGGUGUUCGAACUUGCCAUAUACUCCUUGAACCAUUCUGUUGCAAAGGUUGUGGAAUAUGUUCGAUGGGCGUGAGCGUCGCUCGUUCGAUGAACCCGAAAUUGAACUGACUACGACCACCUGAGCCAUUUCGGUUCGGGAUGCCGGCAAAAAACGGCACAGGCGGGGCACA